GGAAAAUGACAUGGUAUGAUAUGAUGCCAUGAGGGAUCUUAGGGACAAAAUUGGGGUCUUACAGUUUCCUAAAUUCUAAGUCCAAUAAUCUCAGAUCAAACCAACAGUCCACACAAAAUGAUUUUUAGGUUUUUCUUUUGUUAUUAUGUACAUUAGUGUCAAAAGACCACACAAUCAAUCAAGUGUAUACAAACACAAUAUAUCACAAAAUAUGGUCCAAGUGGACAAAGUGAAAAUGACAUAAG
rnacentral:lncRNA from 1 species